UCAGUCCACCUCAAUGCCAGUUAGGGUUCAAUCUGUAACCAACUGGGCAUAAUCUUUUAAAGAAUGGACUGAGAAUAGCCUCUGAAAGGGUUUUAAUAUUAUCCUAGUGCCUGAAGAUUAUAAGCCUCCUCUUCCUG
rnacentral:snoRNA from 1 species